rnacentral:rRNA from 1 species
CCCGCUGAACUUAAGCAUAUCAAUAAGCGGAGGAAAAGAAACUAACAAGGAUUCCCCUAGUAACUGCGAGUGAAGCGGGAAAAGCUCAAAUUUAAAAUCUGGUGGCCUUUGGCCGUCCGAGUUGUAAUUUAGAGAAGCGUCUUCCGCGCUGGACCGUGCACAAGUCUCCUGGAAUGGAGCGUCAUAGAGGGUGAGAAUCCCGUCUUUGGCACGGACUCCCGGUGCUUCUGCGAUGCGCUCUCGACGAGUCGAGUUGUUUGGGAAUGCAGCUCAAAAUGGGUGGUGAACUCCAUCUAAAGCUAAAUACUGGCGAGAGACCGAUAGCGAACAAGUACCGUGAGGGAAAGAUGAAAAGCACUUUGGAAAGAGAGUGAAACAGUACGUGAAAUUGUUGAAAGGGAAACGCUUGAAGUCAGUCGCGUCGACCGAGACUCAGCCUUGCCUUGGCUUGGUGUGCUUCUCGGCUCGACGGGUCAGCAUCAAUUUCGAUCCUUGGAUAAUGGCAAGGGAAAGGUAGCACCUUUUAAGGUGUGUUAUAGUCCUCUGUCGCAUGCGAGGGUCGGGAUUGAGGAACUCAGCACGCACCUCCGGGUGUCGGGGUCUUUGCCCACGUUACGUGCUUAGGAUGCUGGCAUAAUGGCUUUAAACGACCCGUCUUGAAACACGG